CAUUUGCUUUGUAAAUAUUCCUCCUUCCCUUUAUUUUGAGCCUAUGUGUGUCUUUGCACGUGAGAUGGGGCUCCUGAAUACAGCACACCAAUGGGUCUUGACUCUUUAUCCAAUUUGCCAGUCUGUGUCUUUUAAUUGGGGCAUUUAGCCUAUUUACAUUUAAGGUUAAUAUUGUUAUGUGUGAAUUUGAUCCUGUCAUUAUGAUGUUAGCUGGUUAUUUUGCCUGUUAGUUGAUGCAGUUUCUUCAUAGUGUUGAUAGUCUUUACAAUUUGGUAUGUUUUUGCAGUGGCUAGUACUGGUUUUUCCUUUCCAUAUUUAGUGCUUCCUUCAAGAGCUCUUGUAAGGCAGGCCUGGUGGUGACAAAAUCUCAGCAUUUGCUUGUCUGUAAAGGAUUUUAUUUCUUUUUCACUUAUGAAGCUUGGUUUGGCUGGAUAUGAAAUUCUGGGUUGAAAAUUCAUUUCUUUAAGAAUGUUGAAUAUUGGCCCCCACUCUCUUCUGGCUUGUAGGGUUUCUGCAAAGAGAUCCACUGUUAGUCUGAUGGGCUUCCCUUUGUGGGUAUCCUGACCUUUCUUUCUGGCUGCCCUUAACAUUUUUUCCUUCAUUUCAACCGUGGUGAAUCUGAUGAUUAUGUGUCUCGGGGUUGCUCUUUUCAAGGAUUAUCUUUGUGGUGUUCUCUGUAUUUCCUGAAUUUGAAUGUUGGCCUGUCUUGCUAGGUUGGGGAAGUUCUCCUGGAUAAUAUCCUGAAGAGUAUUCUCCAACCUGGUCCCAUUCUCCCCCUCACUUUCAGGUACACCAAUCAAACGUAGGUUUGGUCUUUUCACAUAGUCCCAUAUGUCUUGGAGGUUUUGUUCGUUCCUUUUCAUUCUUUUUUCUCUAUUCUUGUCUUCAUACUUUAUUUCAUUAAGUUGUUCUUCAAUCCCUUAUAUCCUUUCUUCUUCUGCUUGAUUGAUUCGGCUAUUGAUACUUGUGUAUGCUUCUCAAAUUUCUGAUGCUGUGUUUUUCAGCUCCAUCAGGUCAUUUAUGUUCUUCUCUAAACUGGUAAUUCUAGUUAGCAAUUCCUCUAACCUUUUUUCAAGGUUCUUAGCUUCCUUGCUUUGGGUUAGAACAUGCUCCUUUAGCUCAGAGGAGUUUGUUAUUAUCCACCUUCUGAAGCCUACUUCUGUCAAUUCGUGAAACUUAUUCUCUGUCCAGUUUUGUUCCCUUGCUGGUUAGGAGUUGUGAUCCUUUGGAGGAGAAGAUGUGUUCUGGUUUUUGGAAUUUUCAGCCUUUUGCUCUGGCUUUUCCUCAUCUUUGUGCAUUUAUCUACCUUUGGUCUUUGAUGUUGGUGACCUUUGGAUAGCGGUUUUGUGUGGACAUCCUUUUUGUUGAGGUCAAUGCUAUUCCUUUCUGUUUGUUAAUUUUCCUUCUAACAGUCAGGCCCCUCUGCUGCAGAUAUGCUGGAGUUUGCUGGAGGUCCACUCCAGCCCUGUUUGCCUAGAUAUCACCAGCGGAGUCUACAGAACAGCAAAGACUGCUGCCUGUUCCUUCUUCUGGAAGCUUCGUCCCAGAGGGGCACCCGCCUGAUGCCAACUGAAGCUCUCCUGUAUGAGGUUUCUGUCGACCGCUGCUGGGAGCCGUCUCCCAGUCAGGAGGCACGAGGGUCAGGGACCCACUUGAGGAGGCAGUCUGUCCCUUAGCAGAGCUUGAGUGCUAUGCUGGGAGAUCCCCUGCUCUCUUCAGAGCCAGCAGGCAGGAAAGUUUAAGUCUGCUGAAGCUGCGUCCACAGGCGCCCCGUUCCCCAGGUGCUCUGUCCCAGGGAGAUGGGAGUUUUAUUUAUAAGCCCCUGAUUGGGGCUGCUGCCUUUCUUUCAGAGAUGCCCUGCCCAGAGAGGAGGAAUCUAGAGAGGCAGUCUGGCUACAGCAGCUUUGCUGAACGGUGGUAGGCUCCACCCAGUUCAAACUUCCACGCGGCUUUGUUUACACUGUGAGGGGAAAACUGCCUACUCAAGCCUCAGCAAUGGCGGACACCCCUCCCCUGACCAAGCUCCAGCACCCCAAGUCAACUUCAGACUGCUGUGCUGGCAGCGAGAAUUUCAAGCCAGUAGAUCUCAGCUUUUUGGGUUCUGUACAGGUAGGAUCUGCUGAGCUAGACCACUCAGCUCCCUGGCUUCAGCCCACUUUCCAGGGGAGUGAACUGUUCUGUCUCACUGACAUUUCAGGUGCCACUGGGGUAUAAAAAAAACUCCUACAGCUAGCUCAAUGUCUGCCCAAACAGCCACCCAGAUUUGUGCUUGAAACCCAGAGCCAUGGUGGUGUAGGCACCUGAGGGAAUCUCCUGGUCUGCGGGUUGCAAAGACCAUGGGAAAAGCAUAGAAUCUGAGCUGGAUAGCACCGUUCCUCAUGGCACAGUACCUCAGGGCUUCCCUUGGCUAGGGGAGGGAGUUCCCCGACCCCUUGUGCUUCCCAGGUGAGGCAAUGUCCCACCCUGCUUUGGCUCGCCCUCUGUGGGCUGCACCCACUGUCUAACCAGUCCCAAUGAGAUAAGCCAGGUACCUCACUUGGAAAUGCAGAAAUCUCCCGCCUUCUGUGUUGAUCUCACUGGGAGCUGCUGACCGGAGCUAUUCCUAUUUGACCAUCUUGCCAGCCACCUGGAAGGAUAUCAAAAUAUUCUACCCCAAAAUAUGGCUCCCUGGUAUAAUGAGUGUUUUAAACUAAAAACUCUUAGAGACCAUCAAGUACUGGAAGAGAAUUUUCCUUAUCUAUGCAGAGACAGGACUGACCCGCUGAGGACAAGUGUUCUAGUUCCCCUGCCUCUUAUUCUCCAUUGCAAAAAGAAGACCAAAAAUGUAACCACAUCUGAACAGACCCCCUUUGAAGAUAAGCACUGUUUCCAAGGACCAUGUAAAUUCCAAACAGAACUAUUCACCUGUUAAUUUCUGUUCCCUGGUCAUCAUACUGCCCCUCAAUAGAAUUCCUCUUCUCCCUACUCCCAUAACCUGUUUUCUGUAAUCUCAAGAUGAUGUAUAAGCUUCUGUACCUUGUAAAUUGAAAAAACUGAUUGAGGCAAGUCUCAAUCCUUUUAGAUUUGCCAGAGUUGCCCACUUUUGGCAAAGAUUUGCCAAAAUUGCUCUUGAUGUGCACCAGGAGACAGGUCUAUGUCUUUCUCCAAAGACGAUUUUGAGGGCUUCAAGGAGAAAGGGCAGAUAUUGAGGGAAUACACAAUUUUCAUGUGAGAGGGGGUAGAGGAAAUAGUCAUUCCUGCCUUCCUCUGGCUCAGUGAAUCUGCAGUUUUACAUACAGUAACAUAGACAGUAGGUCAGGGGAAGUAAUCAGAUAUGCAUUUGUCUCAGGUGAGUGGAGGGAUGACUUUGAGUUCUGUCUUAUGGUCCUCGCUUGGGCAGACAAAUUAUUAAUUUACAUUGCCAAGGUGAAAUUCAACAGAAAUGAUUUAAGGUAAAGAUCUUGGAGCCUACAAGGAAUUUCCUUAUGGGCAAAAUGUGAGGGAGGUAUGUAGCUUUUUAUCUUUGUAGCCAUCUUAUUUAGGAACCAAAUGGGAAGCAGGUUUGUGUCACCCAGUUCCCAGCUUGACUUUUCCUUUUGGCUUAGUGAGUUUGGGGUCUCGAGAUUUAUCUUCCUUUUACAGCCUAUUUGGGAAGUUGAGUCUUCAUUCUGAAGGCGUCUGUGUAUACACGUGAAAUAAAUUUGUAUGCCACUCUUCUAUUCAUCAAUCUGCCUCAGUAACUUUCAGCAAAACUUUAGGGGGCAAAGGGCCCUGGGCCCCACAGUUAUGGCACUGUGAGCAAGAUCAUCAAAAUUGUUCUUUUUUUUCAGGAAGCCACAGCAAAGGGAACCCAGGAAACUGACACCAUGGCAAAAGUGUAAGAAUUUCGUACCAGCCAGGCUCCUGGCCUGGUUCUCUGUGCAAUCCAGUUGAGCAAACAGUAAAAAUCACUAUCUGUCUCCUCUGCAAGGUUUGAUUAACGGCAAAAAAAGGAUCUGUGUGGCUAGUCUUGGGGUGUGAUGUCUCUGGUGUACUUUUGGUAUUUUGUGGUAUGAAUAUUCAUAUCGUUUGAUCCCUUUCCCCUCAGAAACAGCCUUUUUUUGUUGUUGCCAUUUUUCUUUGUCCUUGUCCUUCUGUGUUGUUCUGUUGUAAAGAGGGGCAUGGAGUAGAACAUGGACCUGGAAAGCCUAUAAGCCUGCAGUUUGAGCUGGCUCUGCAGAUCAGUCAGUUUUGUAGUUCUGACUAGACCUGUGUCUGUUAAGAUAAACUUUGCUAUGGGUCCCUGAAAUGAAAACCAGAUGAGAUUUUCCACUCUUCUUGUUUUAUGUCCUUGAGAUCUUGACUUGUAAUUAAGUGCAGAUACUUCUUCUUAAUCUCUGCUAUCUGGAGGGCAUGAUUUUUGGGGUUACACUGAGAGAGGAGAAAGGAAGAAGCUGGUCGGGGGGCAGCUAGGGUGGUUCCUCAGUUCAAGCAAAAGAACUGCCUGCAGACACAGAUAAAGAAACUUGCACAGGGGGGCUUGCCUAAGACAUGUCCACAGCUGCACAGAUAAGAAAGGCUACACAGGUGACUUGCCCAGACAUGCCCUGCAAUGGAAAAUUCCAUUCCCUGACACAUGUGCAGUAAGAGGAGCAAAGCAAUAUGGAGUAAUUUGAGCUAAGGGCCCACAUGCACACUAGAAGGAUGGGGUGGAGCUACCAGAAAUUCAUGCAUUAUGCAAAUGAGACACCCAGCCCUCCUUGGUUUCUUAUAAAAGCCUUUGUAUUCAACUGUAAAAAUGGCAGCCUUCUUCCAUGUCCCCUCUCUGUGGCAAAGAACUUACUUCUUUCACUUAUUAAACUUUCACUUCAACCUCACCUUUUGUGUCCAUGCUCCUUAAUUCUCUUGGUCCUGAGACAAUUAACUCUGAGUGAAACUUCGCAAAGAGAGACUGCUUUAUUGUGGUGCACUGGCAAGACUGUAACAACAUCAGGUGGCCAGUCUGAAAAGAUUGGGAAUCUGAGAGCUCCAUUUUCUACUGCUUGUCAUCUGAGGCAUACCAGUGACCCAGACCUGUGGGAGACAGCUGAGAACAUCGUCACAGGGAAGUAACCAGCCAGGCAUGGUGGCAUGUGCCUGUGGUCCCAGCUACUCUGGAGGCCGAGACAGGAGGAUGACAUGAGCCCAGAAGUUCGAAUCCAGCCUGGGAAACAUCUCCAGACCUCAUCUCCAACUCUAAGAAAAAGAAAAGAAAAAUGAAGAAUCAUUGCUUGCAUCCCAAAUAAAAUAU